rnacentral:lncRNA from 1 species
CAGUCCACUGUCUCUGAGCUUAGUUCAACACUAGAAUUUGCAUAAGAGUUGUGGUCCUUAUAAAAGUCCUUGAAGACUGCCUUUCAGGUUUACUUAGAAACCCAGAGCAUUUUAACCCUCAGUAGUGAGCACACAGAGAUAUUCCUUCAGCAUACCAUACUGCCAUAGAGUGAUGGAGGAAUGACACCAGUAAUUUGAGACCUCUUCAGUGGCUCUGUGAUACAAAGUUAAAACCAGGUCUGCUGCAGUUUGCGGGAGGUCCACUCCAGACCCUGUUUGCCUGGGUGUCACCAGUGGAGGCUGCAGAACAGAAAGGAUUGCCACCUGCUCCUUCCUCUGGAAGCUUCAUCCCAGAGGGACACUGGCCUGAUGCCAGCCACAGCUCUCCUGUACAAGUGUUUAUUAUAUCCCUCUAUAUGGCCAUGUGUACUCAUCGUUCACCUUCCACUUACAUGUAAAAACAUAUGAAUGUUGCAUAUGCUGAGAAGAAUGUGUAUUCUACAGAUGCUGGAGGAAAUGUUCUGCAAAUAUCUAUUACAUUUAUUUGCCCUAUUGUAUAAAGUAAUGAUUGUGAUUCUUUUUAAAUUUUUAUUCUAGAUUAUCUGCCUUCUAGAUAAUGAAAUUGUAAAAGUCUGUUUUGUGAUAAAAAUGUCUUGAAGCCUUCAGCUGAUCUUUAGGAUUUUACUCUAUUGUUUAAAAUGUAUAAAUUUAAGUGUACAAUGCAAUUUUAUUACAUGAUCAUAUUGUGUAGUGAUAAAGUCAUGGUUUUAGUGUAUUAAUCAUCUGAAUAAUGUACAUUGUACUCAUUAAGUAUGUCUCAUCAACCAAGCUCUUUCCAUCCUUCCACAUUUCUGACUCUCCAAUGUGUAUCAUUCUAUACUUUAUGCCCAUGCUUACAAUAUUGUGAAUAUACAGUAUUUGACUUUAUGUUUCCAAGUUUGUUUGUUUUAGAUCAUGGCCUCCAGUUUUAUACAUGUCAAUAGAGAGGACAUGACUUUAUUCUUUUCUAUAAUGAAAUUGUAUUUUAUUAUGUUUAUGUAGCAUAUUUGUUUAAUCUAAUUAUAUGGUGAUAAUCAGUUUAGGUAAUUCUAUUGUUUUACUACUGUGAAUAAUGCUGCAAUACUUAUAUGAUAUGUAUUUUAUAUAAUGAUUUUAAUAUCUUUGAUAGAUACCCAGUAGUGGGAUUGCUGGAACAAGUGGUACUUACAGUUUUAGUUCUUUGAUAAAUAACCAUUCUGUUUUUCAUAGAGCUUAUACUAAUCUAUAUUCCCACCAACAGUAUUAAGCAUUCUUUCUUAGCAUCCUCAUCAUCUGUUUUUCUUUUUAUGUAAUAGCCAUUUUGAGUGGUGUAAUAUGAUAUCUAUCUUACGGUGGUUUUAGUUUGCAUUUCUUUGAUCAUUAGUGAUGUUGAACAUUGGCUUAUAUGCAUGCUGGCCUUUGGAUGUCUUCUUUUGAUAAAUGACUAUUCAUAUUAUUAAUAGCUUUUAUUAUCCUUUCAAAACUUAAAUUUUGGUUUUCACAAACACAUGAAGGUUUCUUACACAGUUAAACUCAGGUCAUAGGGAUGAGUUGUAAAGAUUAUUUCAUCACCUGGAAAUUAAGCCCAAUACCCAAUAGUUAUCUUUUCUGCUUGUCUCCCUUUUUCUUCCCACCAUCCUCAAGUAGACCCCACUGUCUGUUAUUUCCUUCUUUGUUUUAACAAGUAUUACUUAGCCCUAACCUUUGAUGAAAACUAUUGGUUUUCUCUUCCAGCAUUAGCUUACUCAGAUUAAUACCCUCCAUCUCCAUCCAUGUGCCUGCAAAAAAAAAACAUAAUCUUGCUUUUUUAUAUGUAUAUUGGCAUAGUAUUCCAUGGUAUAUAUAUGCCAUAUUGCUUUAUUCUAUCAUUAAUGAACAUUUAUAUUAAUAUCAUGUCUUUGCUAUUGUAAAUACUGCUGCUAUGAAUAUUCAUGUGUAUGUCUCUGUGUGGUAGGAUGAUUUAUGUAUCAUCCUUUGGUACACACUUAGUCAUAAAAUUGCUUAGCCAAAUGGUAGUUCUGCUUUUAGCCUUUUGCAGAAUCACAAUACUGCUUUCCACAAUGCUUGAACUAAUUUAUGCACCCACAAACAGUGUAUAUAUGUUUCCCUUUCUCUGCAGUCUUGCCAGCAUCUGUUACUAUUUCACUUUUUAGUAAUAGCUUUUCUGACAGCUGUGAGAUUGUAUCUUAUUGUGGUUUUGAUUUGCAUUUAUCUAAUCAUCACUGAUAUUGAGCUUUUUUUAUACAUGAUUAUUGGCAGCAUGUAUGUCUUCUUUUAAAAAAAAUCUGUUCAUGUCCUUUUCCCAUUUUUAAUGGGGUUUUCUAUUGGAAUUGUGUUAAAGUUCUUUAUAGAUGUUGGGUAUUAGACUUUUUCAGAUGCAUAGUUUGCAAAAUUUUUCAGAUUUUUGUCAGAUGCACAGGUUGCAAAAUUUUCUCCCAUUCUGUAGGUUGUCUGUGUACUCUGUUGAUAGUUUCUUUUGCUGUACAAAGUAACAUUUUAAUGGUUUUAUUUGUUUUUCCUGUUGCUUGAGUUUAUUAUAUAUUCUAGAUAUCAGUGUAUUUCUUUUGUUUCUACCCUGACCUUUGUAAUUUAUAAUUUUCUACACAUUGUGAGUAGUUUCAUUUUGUUUUCCUAAAACUCUGAGUUGUCUUAUUUGACUUUUUAGAGCUUUUUACUUUUAAGUGUUGGAAUUUGUUGCUAUCAACUUUUCUAUUUUAGCGAUAUUUGAUUUUUCUUUUUAAUUUUAUAUAUUGUGUUUACUUUUUUAUUUGUCUCAACAUUUAAACAUUUUUAUUUUUACUUUUUUUGGUUCAUUGAUUUUUCAGGAGCAUGC